UCAUCAUUUGUGCCAACACGCAGAGAGGUUGCAGAUUCUGCAGCUAUGUUUGUCACAGAAAGAGAGGUGGAGAGAGAGACAGAGAGAGAAAGAGAUAGCAUAUUAGGCUUUCUCUAUACCAAUGGCCAAACACAUGUGUGUAGUAUACAGAGCCGUAGUGGAAUAGAAGCGGAUGAGGCAAGGGCUGCGGCCCUUGUUAUGUUUAAAACAAUUUUCGGCCCUCUAAACAACAAGAAUUACUUUAGCCUAGUGACUUUGCUAGGUAUUUUCUAGUAAAUGAACCUGAGUUCGAGUCUCUAGGUAGUAUAUAUGUAUUCAUAUGUUUGAUGAUGGUUUAUGUCACAAACUCGUGAAUGUAUGUAAUAAUGUCUAACCAUAUGUAUAAAAUGAUGGAAUUCAUGUAAUAAUGUUAUAUAUAUGCACUUCCAACACGAUUUGUUUAUCGCUAAAUGCAUGCAGUAGCGUACUUUGAGAUUAUAAAUUGUAAUUGCUUCAAAUCAAAAGAAAUAUAUUAUAGUUGCUCGGACCAUCUAUAAUACACAGUUGGUUUUAGGAGUUGUAACGAAUUAAAAUAAAAAAAAAAGGAAGAACAAUGGAACGUGCAACACAAAAAAGGGUUUAGCUUUUUACCAAAAAAAAAAAAAAAGGGGUUUAGCUUUAUAUCUCU
rnacentral:lncRNA from 1 species